rnacentral:tRNA from 1 species
GCGGAUGUGGCGGAAUCGGUAGACGCGCAGGUUUCAGGUACCUGUGGUGGAAACACUAUGGGAGUUCAAGUCUCCCCAUCCGCAC